UGGGGAAUUUUGGACAAUGGGCGAAAGCCUGAUCCAGCAAUGCCGCGUGCAGGAUGAAGGCCUUCGGGUUGUAAACUGCUUUUGUACGGAACGAAAAGGUUUGGCCUAAUAAGCUGAGCUCAUGACGGUACCGUAAGAAUAAGCACCGGCUAACUACGUGCCAGCAGCCGCGGUAAUACGUAGGGUGCGAGCGUUAAUCGGAAUUACUGGGCGUAAAGCGUGCGCAGGCGGUUUUGUAAGACAGAGGUGAAAUCCCCGGGCUCAACCUGGGAAUUGCCUUUGUGACUGCAAGGCUUGAGUGCGGCAGAGGGGGAUGGAAUUCCGCGUGUAGCAGUGAAAUGCGUAGAUAUGCGGAGGAACACCGAUGGCGAAGGCAAUCCCCUGGGCCUGUACUGACGCUCAUGCACGAAAGCGUGGGGAGCAAGCA
rnacentral:rRNA from 1 species